GGGUGCAGACGCUGACAACUGGAAGCCUGUUCUGCAAUAUAUAGUAGUUCAGAAUAUGCCAGCCAGCUUCUCCUCUCCCCAGUUCCUUUCAUGUACAGGACAAAUACAUUUCAGGGAAAAGAACAGUCUGACUUGGAUUGUAAAUAUGCAAUUAGUAGCUGGAGUAGAAGUAAAAGCAGAAAAUGUCAACUGUCAAGUAGCUCCAUUGAAAGACACAUGAUGCUUCAAGCUAAGACAGAAAGACAAAAGCAUCUACCAACAAGGAUGAAGGCUGCAAAAUCUCUCUUUAAAUAUUCCAUUAAUCUCUUCCAUGAAAUAAAUACAGUCAAUACAUCCAGGAAUGAGGAAUCCACUAUCAAAACUGCAGUUUACUUUUUCAAUAAAGCUCUGUGUGGUAAUAAUAUACUCCAUUGCCAGUAGACAUUCUGGAUCUCAUGUCUGUUAUAAUUCACAACAUAUAGCCUUUUAUGUUACGUAUCGCUGGCCAUAUCCCAGCAACGUUACCGAUUUUCCAAAAAUAUACAUGUGAAAAGAGUGCAAAGCAUCAUUGUACUCUGUACUAUAUUUCCAUUCUAGACCAAAACUUCUAACUCUGCUUCCAAACAGUAGAUUUCUUUUAAGUCCUCUCUACUAAAACCUUUAUACAUUUUGGCUCUCAUAUGCGACAGCUGACUCUACUUUAGUCCAGAAUUGUGGGAGAAGAAUGCUGAAAGGAAGCAAGAGGGUUGUAUAGAGAUAUUCAUUUUCAUCAUCAAGUCAAGCAAAAUGCUUUGGUGCAACAUGUUAUAUAUCUUAAGGCACUAUAAAAGGUCUUAAUAAUUACAGGAGGCUCCUCUCUAGGCACUCCUAGUUAUUCACAUUACUAGGGGAGGUUUGUUGUGAGACAAAAUUAAAAGAAUAAGGCUAGUUUUAACCUAUGCAUGUAAAGACUUUGCCAAGCCAAGAGAAGCAGAGAGAUGAACUCUUGCCUGCACAGCUGCCCUCUUAAACCAUCAUAUUAGCCUUGGCUUAACCUUCAUGUGUUUUCUCAAAAGCAGCUACCACAGAGUUCCUCUGGGUUUAAUGCUGUGAAAAAAGUGGUUGUUCGAUUGUUGUUAAAUAUUAAAAGGAAUAACCUGCCUACCAACAAAAGGUUUUGGUAACUUUCUGGCCAUGAAAUUAGUGACUCAAUUAUUAUUAUUACGUUAUAUAUAUAUAUUUUUAAUUUUAUUAUAUUUUUAUAACUUUCAAAGAGGUAAAAUAAGUGUUUCUAUUAAUCUUACAUUGCAGAUUUCCACAUGUUACUGGUUAUGCAUAUUCAAUUUUAUUCUAAGUUUUCACAGUUCUUACCAUUUUAGUUUUAUCUGUCAUGUGUUAGCUAAUGUGUCUGUUAUGCUUGAGGUAUAUAAUCUAAAAAUGGCACAUAUAUCCUGUAAUCUAAUAGGAUAACACCUAAAAAUAUAUCUUAAAAAGCAUUUAUACAAUGUUAGACAGCUGUGGUAUUGAUCAAAAUGGAAAACAAGUGCACUAGUAGUGUCUCCAUUACAUUAUAAAUAAAUUUUAUUCCUGUAAAUCCUACUGAUGAUUCUUUGGUGAUUCAGCUGUUUUGCACUGGUAAGACAGGUGAGAUUGCUGAGCAGUCUCACAUGCCAUGGUCUCCUAUGGGGCUGGGAUCCCAAGCACACUGCUGCAGGUGUGUGUAUCCUCUCUGCACCCAGAGUGCUUCACUACCAUCAUCACAGCUUUUGACAGAGCUCCACGAUAACAGAUGUGUGGGCUUAUAUUCUACUUCUUUUCUGGCAUGCGAUAGAUGACACAAAAAAUAAUCAGGUUUGAAAAGGAUUUUUUUAUUUUAUUUUUAACAGCAUAAUUAAAAAGUUUCUUGACCUAUGUAAAGUCUGAA